rnacentral:rRNA from 1 species
CAGGCCUAACACAUGCAAGUCGAGCGGAGUCAUAAAUUGAUUCUUCGGAUGAUUUUUAUGACUUAGCGGCGGAUGGGUGAGUAACACGUGGGUAAUCUGCCCUGCACAGGGGGAUAACAGCUGGAAACGGCUGUUAAUACCGCAUAUGCACACGUUAUCGCAUGAUAGAGUGUGGAAAGAUUCAUCGGUGCAGGAUGAGCCCGCGUCGGAUUAACUUGUUGGCAGGGUAACGGCCUACCAAGGUGAUGAUCCGUAGCCGGCCUGAGAGGGCGACCGGCCACAUUGGGACUGAGACACGGCCCAAACUCCUACGGGAGGCAGCAGUGGGGAAUAUUGCACAAUGGGCGCAAGCCUGAUGCAGCGACGCCGCGUGAAGGAAGACGUAUUUCGGUAUGUAAACUUCUAUCAGCGGGGAAGAAGAUGACGGUACCCGACUAAGAAGCCCCGGCUAACUACGUGCCAGCAGCCGCGGUAAUACGUAGGGGGCGAGCGUUGUCCGGAAUUACUGGGCGUAAAGGGUGCGUAGGCGGUACUUUAAGUUGGAUGUGAAAUACCCGGGCUUAACUUGGGGGGUGCAUCCAAUACUGGAGAACUAGAGUGCAGGAGAGGGAAGCGGAAUUCCUAGUGUAGCGGUGAAAUGCGUAGAUAUUAGGAGGAACACCAGUGGCGAAGGCGGCUUUCUGGACUGUAACUGACGCUGAGGCACGAAAGCGUGGGGAGCAAACAGGAUUAGAUACCCUGGUAGUCCACGCUGUAAACGAUGAAUACUAGGUGUAGGGGGUAUCAACUCCCUCUGUGCCGCAGCAAACGCAAUAAGUAUUCCGCCUGGGGAGUACGGCCGCAAGGUUGAAACUCAAAGGAAUUGACGGGGGCCCGCACAAGCAGUGGAGUAUGUGGUUUAAUUCGAAGCAACGCGAAGAACCUUACCAGGUCUUGACAUCGUAUGCAUAUCUAAGAGAUUAGAGAAAUCCCUUCGGGGACAUAUAGACAGGUGGUGCAUGGUUGUCGUCAGCUCGUGUCGUGAGAUGUUGGGUUAAGUCCCGCAACGAGCGCAACCCUUACCUUUAGUUGCUACGCAAGAGCACUCUAAAGGGACUGCCGUUGACAAAACGGAGGAAGGUGGGGAUGACGUCAAAUCAUCAUGCCCCUUAUGACCUGGGCUACACACGUACUACAAUGGCGAUCAACAAAGAGAAGCAAGACAGUGAUGUGGAGCGAAUCUCAAAAAAUCGUCCCAGUUCAGAUUGCAGGCUGCAACUCGCCUGCAUGAAGUCGGAAUUGCUAGUAAUCGUGGAUCAGCAUGCCACGGUGAAUACGUUCCCGG